UACGUAGGGGGGCAAGCGUUGUCCGGAAUCAUUGGGCGUAAAGCGCGUGUAGGCGGCUGGGUAAGUCCGCUCUGAAAGCCCGGGGCUCAACCCCGGGAGGCGGGUGGAUACUGCUCAGCUCGAGUCCGGAAGAGGAGUGUGGAAUUCCUGGUGUAGCGGUGAAAUGCGCAGAUAUCAGGAGGAACACCAAUGGCGAAGGCAGCACUCUGGGACGGUACUGACGCUGAGACGCGAAAGCGUGGGGAGCGAACAGG
rnacentral:rRNA from 1 species